CUCAAACUAUGACAUUGUAUUUAGGGGUGGGCGAACGGGUCGGGUUAAUCGGGUCCCAACCCGAUCCGAUCGGAUCUCAGGUUUUUGUUAACCCGAACCCGACUAAGAGUAGUCGGGUUCGGGUUCGGGCUAUAGCAUCCUACCCGAAGAACCCGAUCGGGAUAAAAGAAAUAAGUCAGUUUGUCUUCACUCUUCACAGACGGUUCCUUGGCUCUUUCUCUUCUUUCCCACAAUCUUCUUCCUCCAAGUCUCCAACGGUCCUAUCUUCUUCUUCCCUAUUAUCGCUGCUGCCACCGAGUCGCCAACCACCAAAACUCCAAAACUCCGACGAUUGACCCACCACCGCGAGUCCGCGACUUCUCCUUCUUCGCCGAUAGAGUUCGUCGUUGCUAUUUUGCUAGAUUCGAAAUAUUGAUUUCUCAAUGGGCGGAAUUAGAAGUCACUCUCAAUCUCGGUCUAACUCGUCACCGAAUGAACUUGAAGUGGUUGAAAAAGAGUUGACUAAGUUGGGGGUUGAUUCAACAAUUAUGGACGUUUAAUGGUGCUAACUGGUACUUAUAAAUUUUUUUACAAGGUCGAGGACUCGAGGAUGAAAAUGUGAUAUGAGCUAGUUGCUUUUUCAGUCUGUAGACAUUAGUAUUUAGGAGGCCUUGGUUUUAUUAUUAUUAGUGAAAUAAUUUACAAAAACCUAUGAUAAUUUAUGGAUGUGAUUGAACUCUUUUUUUUUUUUUUGUAUUUAUGUAAAGCUUUAAGUAUUUGUGUCCAUAACUUAUAUUUUAGAUUUACA